CACAGUCACAGUAGCUUUGUGCUCC
rnacentral:piRNA from 1 species